UUGUCACACUUCUGAGGUCACCGCAAGGACGGGGGUGGGGUGGGGGGUGGGGGUGGAGGCUUGGCCGCUACCCAGGAGGAAGUGGCCGCGAGGAGCUUGGCUGCGGGACCACGCGGCCACCCCAGUCUCUCCACCUUUGCCAGUCGAUGCCCGUGUGUCCUGGGCCGCCAGAAGCCACGGAACCCUGGGACAGCUGGAAGGAGGCUGGGGAAGGCCUGGGGCUUCGAAUCACCCCCGCCUGGACUGCGGGGCAGUUGGCUGCUGGCUCUCUGCACCUCACCUGUGAAGCAAACCGCAGACAAGUGGGUCUUAGAGCUUCCUCCUGGGCAGGGUGGCUGUGAGCACAGAGAAGGGCCUGGUAGCCAGUGAGCCCCAACUAAAUGUCAGUCCCUUCCGGGUGGGCGGGCGGCAGCUGUAUCCGGAGCUCCACCCAGGAGAGGCUGGGACGCGGCAGGAAACACCUGCUGGUGGGAGGGGCUGCCCGCAAGAGUGCGCCCUCCUCCUUCUCAACAACCUGGUCAGCACUGGGGCUCAGAGAGGUUAAGUAACUUGCCCACAGUCACACAGCUUAGAAAAGGUGGAGCUGGGGGUUGCCCUCAGGCCAGCCUGAACCCUCUGUCCCUUCGUCUUGGCCCCGGUGCUGUCCCCCUCCCUGUGGCUGUGGGCCCCCAAAUCCCGGCUUGGGCCGGACGAGACGGAAGCAGCGGGAGGAGGCAGCCGUGACUGAGCUGUUUACACAGCGGAGAGGAUUCCCUUCCAUCUCCCAUCACUCCCCCUUCAAUGAUCUCACCACCAGGAACCCGAGAGAAUCGGAGCCUCUGUGAAGGCGGCAUCUCUCAGAUGAAAGCUGCAGCCGGCAUCCCCGCGAUGGGGGCACCUGCUGGCCCCUCGGCCCCUCUCGGGGCGGCCCCCUGGGGAGGCUGGGGGCUGCGGGAAGGGCAAGGUGGAUAGGGGUCUCCUUCUAGCCUCCCCUCCCUCCCCGCCAGCGCCAGCCACGGCCUGGGAAGGUUGUCUUGCUUGCAGCAUUGCAAAAUCAUCCGCCUUGGACUCAGAAGGAGCUCCAGACAGGGGGUGCCUGGGUGGCUCCGUUGGCCGAGCGUCCGACUUCGGCUCAGGUCGCGAUCUCGCGGUUCACGAGUUCAAGCCCCGCGUCGGGCUCUGCGCUGACAGCUCGGAGCCCGGGGCCUGCUUCGGAUUGACACGCCCUGCUAUCAAGGAAGAGCAUGCCCCCCCCCCACCCCCGCCC
rnacentral:lncRNA from 1 species